AUGCCUCGCAAUAUGCAAUAUGUAUAUCAUGCAGCUCUAUGCAAAUAUGCAACCAUUCAGUAGAUCUAUUGAUUCUACAUUCAACUCUACUAACUUUAGCUCAUGUCAUUUAGCCUCUAAGGUCUCUAUUACCUUAGCUCUUACCAUUAUCAUUAGCUUAUAAGGUUUCUAUUAACCUAAUCAAGCUAACCACCUGACUCGGCCUCGAGUCAAUCAUCUGCGGAUAGUCCGCGCACUGGCCGCCCUCUGUGACUUAACCAGCUGGCGGCGAAGUCGUCGCACACGCCGAACACUGGUUCAAGUCCCUUGACUUGGCCAUCUGGCGGCGAACGAAUCGCACCUCACCCAACAAUGGCUCAAGUCGAUCUGGCGGCAUAAUCCACAAACUGGCUUAACCAUCCGGCGGCGAAAUCGUCGCACACGCCACGUCAAUGGUUCAAGCCCCGGGCGGUGAUCUCGGCGCACUCACCUCCCAAUCCAUCCUUGGUAUCAACCUCGGCGACGAAAUCGUCGCACACGCCCUAGCCUUGAUACCAAGGUUAUCAAAGAUCUUGGGAUUCCGGAAUCCACUUCCACAGGUCGAGGGUCCAUAGCCAACCCUAUGCUGUCGACCUAAAACAUCCUAGUG
rnacentral:lncRNA from 1 species